UGAAAGAGGAUCCUGGCAAAAACAUGGCUUGGUGCAGGGGAUGGCACGCUGAAGACAGCAGCAGACACUUGAAUGAAGACUCCUCGUGUUUACAGCCUGGUCACACGAGCGACUGAGACCUGAAAUCUCCCUGACAUCCUCUCUGGAUGCUUGGCCUAGGAACAGCGUCAUUCCUACCACACCUGCUCCCUUCCGCUCAUGGAGCCUUCUAUGCUGCACUGGACACUGGAAAAGCUCUUGGAGAUGGCUGGAAAAGGAUGGGACGUCCUGGAAAAUGGUCUCUAAACCAGCCCUUCCCUGUGCCGUGGCUUUUCUGAGGCUCGUUAAUAUCAGUGGUUCCUGCUGGAGGAACUCUGUCACCUUCCCCAAGGCAGCAGAUCUGAGGCCAGACGUGGUGUGCGCUGCUUGUGCAUCAGACACGAGUAAUAACAAGUUUCGAG
rnacentral:lncRNA from 1 species